AUUGAACGCUGGCGGCAUGCCUUACACAUGCAAGUCGAACGGCAGCACGGGAGCAAUCCUGGUGGCGAGUGGCGAACGGGUGAGUAAUAUAUCGGAACGUGCCCAGUCGUGGGGGAUAACGCAGCGAAAGCUGUGCUAAUACCGCAUACGAUCUACGGAUGAAAGCGGGGGAUCGCAAGACCUCGCGCGAUUGGAGCGGCCGAUAUCAGAUUAGCUAGUUGGUGAGGUAAAGGCUCACCAAGGCGACGAUCUGUGGCUGGUCUGAGAGGACGACCAGCCACACUGGAAGUGAGACACGGUCCAGACUCCUACGGGAGGCAGCAGUGGGGAAUUUUGGACAAUGGGCGAAAGCCUGAUCCAGCAAUGCCGCGUGCAGGAUGAAGGCCUUCGGGUUGUAAACUGCUUUUGUACGGAACGAAACGGUGAGCUCUAGUACAGUUUGCUAAUGACGGUACCGUAAGAAUAAGCACCGGCUAACUACGUGCCAGCCGCCGCCGUAA
rnacentral:rRNA from 1 species